UUGACCUCGAAUCAGGUAGGAAUACCCGCUGAACUUAAGCAUAUCAAUAAGCGGAGGAAAAGAAACCAACCGGGAUUACCUCAGUAACGGCGAGUGAAGCGGUAACAGCUCAAAUUUGAAAUCUGGCUCCUUCGGAGUCCGAGUUGUAAUUUGUAGAAGAUGCUUUGGGUUGUGGGUUCGGCCUAAGUUCCUUGGAACAGGACGUCACAGAGGGUGAGAAUCCCGUACGUGGCCGAGGCCUGCGCCUAUGUAAAGCUCUUUUGACGAGUCGAGUUGUUUGGGAAUGCAGCUCAAAAUGGGUGGUAAAUUUCAUCUAAAGCUAAAUAUGGGCCAGAGACCGAUAGCGCACAAGUAGAGUGAUCGAAAGAUGAAAAGCACUUUGGAAAGAGAGUUAAACAGUACGUGAAAUUGUUGAAAGGGAAGCGCUUGCACCCAGACUUGGGCGCUGCCGAUCACCCCGAGUUUUCUCGGGUGCACUCGACAGCGCACAGGCCAGCAUCGGUUCGGGUGGCUGGAUAAAGGCCGGAGGAACGUAGCUCCUCUCGGGGAGUGUUAUAGCCUCCGGUGCCAUGCAGCCCAGCCGGACCGAGGACCGCGCCUUCGGGCUAGGAUGCUGGCGUAAUGGUUGUAAGCGACCCGUCUUGAAACACGGACC
rnacentral:rRNA from 1 species